GGUUCUGAAUAUAUGCUAGAUUGCAAAACUAGCGGUGUGGGUUAAUUGCCUGCCGGGGCUU
rnacentral:tRNA from 1 species